AGCGGAUCUCUUAAAGCCGUUCUCAGUUCGGACUGUAGGCUGCAACUCGCCUACACGAAGCUGGAAUCGCUAGUAAUCGCGGAUCAGCACGCCGCGGUGAAUACGUUCCCGGGCCUUGUACACACCGCCCGUCACACCAUGGGAGCCGGAAAUGCCCGAAGUCAGUGACCCAACCGCAAGGAGGGAGCUGCCGAAGGUGGAGCUGGUAACUGGGGUGAAGUCGUAACAAGGUACC
rnacentral:rRNA from 1 species